UAUGUGGAAGAUAUUUUAGAAU
rnacentral:miRNA from 1 species